AACCCGCUCGCAUCCUCUUCCACACUGUGGAAGCUUUGUUUUUUCGCUCUUUGCAGUAAAUCUUGCUACUGCUCACUCUUCGGGUCCACGCUGUUCUUAUGAGCUGUAACACUCACGGCGAAGAUCUGCAGCUUCACACCUGAGCCCAGCGAGACCACGAGCCCACCGGGAGGAACGAGCAGCUCCAGACUCGCUGCUUUAAGAGCUGUAACACUCACCGCGAAGGUCUGCAGCUUCACUCCUGAGCCAGCGAGACCACGAACCCACCAGAAGGAAGAAACUCCGAACACAUUUGAACAUCAGAAGGGAUAGACUCCAGACGCGCUACCUUAAGAGCUGUAACACUCACCGCGAGGGUCCGCGGCCUCAUUCUUGAAAUUGAGUUGACUUCAAGAAUCGGUCUUCGAGCUUCUUUCCUCAGCUUGGUUGAUUCUGCUGUUAAUACUUGAACCCAGCCAGCAUGCUGUGAGAAGCAUGCCUGAGUCCUAGAGAGUCAAUAGUCUCUGAUGAAUGCCACCCAACAGUCAAUAUCAACUGAAAGCCAUCUGCGUGAGCCAUCUCAGUCCACUCAAGCCAUCAACAUGACUGCAGCAGCACUGGAGACUGCAAGAAAGAAUUGCCCAGCUUAGGCCAGUCAACACACAGGAUUACAAAAG